AUUGAACGCUGGCGGCAGGCCUAACACAUGCAAGUCGAACGAGUGGCGGACGGGGGAGUAAUGUCUGGGAAACUGCCUGAUGGAGGGGGGUAACUACUGGGAACGGUAGCUAAUACCGCAUACCAUCGGAUGUGCACAGAUUGGAUUAGCUAGUAGGUGGGGUAUAGGCUCACCUAGGCGACGAUCCCUAGCUGGGCUGAGAGGAUGACCAGCCACACUGGAACGGAGACACGGUCCAGACUCCUACGGGAGGCAGCAGUGGGGAAUAUUGCACAAUGGGCGCAAGCCUGAUGCAGCCAUGCCGCGUGUAUGAAGAAGGCCGUCGGGUUGUAAAGUACUUUCAGCGGGGAGGCGUUACCCGCAGAAGAAGCACCGGCUAACUCCGUGCCAGCAGCCGCGGUAAUUC
rnacentral:rRNA from 1 species